CUCAAGCUGUGACUCUGCAAAGGGAAGCCCUUUCUGUUGUCUAAAAGAAAAGAAAGUGCUUCCCUUUGGUGAAUUACGGUUUGAGA
rnacentral:pre_miRNA from 1 species